ACCAGACUCCUACGGGAGGCAGCAGUGGGGGAUAUUGCACAAUGGGGGAAACCCUGAUGCAGCGACGCCGCGUGGGUGAAGAAGUAUUUCGGUAUGUAAAGCCCUAUCAGCAGGGAAGAAAGAAGACGGUACCUGACUAAGAAGCCCCGGCUAACUACGUGCCAGCAGCCGCGGUAAUACGUAGGGGGCGAGCGUUAUCCGGAUUCACUGGGUGUAAAGGGAGCGUAGACGGCCGUGCAAGCCAGGAGUGAAAGCCCGGGGCCCAACCCCGGGACUGCUCUUGGAACUGUGCGGCUGGAGUGCGGGAGGGGCAGGCGGAAUUCCUGGUGUAGCGGUGAAAUGCGUAGAUAUCAGGAGGAACACCGGCGGCGAAGGCGGCCUGCUGGACCGCGACUGACGUUGAGGCUCGAAAGCGUGGGGAGCGAACAGGAUUAGAUACCCGCGUACU
rnacentral:rRNA from 1 species